rnacentral:misc_RNA from 1 species
GCCUUGUUUAUUCAACCAUUCAAGUCUCUGUUGCUUGUCCAUGCCAACGAACUGUUCCUCGUUAGUAUCUACUCUUUGGGCGUGCUCCAUCCCGCUAACUGCUGCGUUAUUCACCAGUAUUUCUAGCUUGCCAAAACGAGUCGUCAAGAAAUCAGCCAACCGAGAAACGCUGGAACUGUCCGUGACCUCCAGAUGAUGGAAGAUGACACAGG